UGGAGGUGGAGGAGCUGAAGCUGUAGCAGUGGUGGUAGUGGUGGUAGCCUCUUCAGUAAAGUCAGCCAACCCCUCUGCAGCCCCAGAUGCAGGAUCAGUUACCACCAGAACUGCUAGUCUUAUGAGAAUGUGAGUCUGAGUUCCCGUUGUUACCUGCUCCUUCUGUACUCCACACACCAGCAGCCAUCCAGCAGAGCCUGCCUUUCCUGCACAGAGUGAUGUAAAGUUGAAACGAGGUACAAAAUUUGCAAGGUGCCAUUCAUCUUAACUUGGAGCAUCUUAAGUCGAGGACUGCCUGUACAGGGUAUCUAGACAUCUCCCCUUGGAAUAUGAUGUGCUUCUGUGUUGGAGAGAUCACAUUUUCCCAGAUGUUCUUUAAGGAGAAGAGAGCCAGAGAGAGGUGAAGAUACAGCCCUCGUGGUGCAGAGCCAGCCAGGCAGUGUGCGAAGGAGCGGAGGAGAAGGUGCAAAGGAGGAAAAAAUAUGAAUGAGUAGCUCCAUGUUUAACUUCUCUGUAUGUUAGAAAAUUAUAUGUGAAUUUAAGUUAUUAAAAUAUUAAUGUUAUUUUAUUAAAAGGUACUGAAUGAAGUAAACAAUAAAG